AGACUUUCGUAAGGUCCUGGAAUCCAUCGAUUGCAAGCACUGGCAAAUCAAGCCACCUUAUGACUUGGAGCACAUGUACAGAAAUAGGAAGGACUUGUGCUCCCUAAAUGUACAAGUCUUUUGCAACGGUAGGGGUGUCAUCAUCCAGCCGACCUCAAAGGGGCCUGGAAGCACGCAUGGCAGCCUCAUAUGGAUGGACUGUGCUCUGCCUGGGAGCUUCAAGGGCAGAAAACUGCCUAAUGGCUGGUUGCUAGGUGACUCUCGCUAUGCCUGAGAGCCAUGGGUGCUCACCCUCCUGUCCGUGGCUGGCCCAGCUAAGCAGCAGUGCAGUGCAGCCCCCACCCGUGCAAGACAAGUCAUACAGUGCACCUUUGGUGUUCUGAGCACGACACAGCAUAUCCGUCCGGCAUGGCAUUGACAGCAAUAGUGAUGAUGCAGUACCAUGGGAUCAGGUGCCUCACUGUCAUCUAAUUGAACAGUGUAUCUCGGACAAAACGC